rnacentral:rRNA from 1 species
AGCUCCAAUAGCGUAUAUUAAAGUUGUUGCAGUUAAAAAGCUCGUAGUUGGAUUUUGGCAUGUGGACGGUCUGGUCCGCCUCGAAGGUGAGUACUGGCCGACGCGUGCUUCCUGCUGUCAUCUCGCGUAGCUGCUUCAUUGCGGUUGCGUCAGGCUUCGGCCGGAGAGGCAGCACAUUUACUGUGAACAAAUUAGAGUGUUCAAAGCAGGCCUUUUGUGCCUUGAAUACAUUAGCAUGGGAUAAUAGAAUAGGACUUUGGGUCUAUUUUGUUGGUUUCUAGUACCAAAGUAAUGAUUAAUAGGGACAGUUGGGGGCAUUCGUAUUUCGAUGUCAGAGGUGAAAUUCUUGGAUUUUCGAAAGACGAACUUCUGCGAAAGCAUUUGUCAAGGAUGUUUUCAU